rnacentral:rRNA from 1 species
AGAGUUUGAUCCUGGCUCAGGAUGAACGCUAGCGGCAGGCCUAAUACAUGCAAGUCGAACGAGAUUAAGAGGCUUGCUUCUUAUGAAAGUGGCGCACGGGUGCGUAACGCGUAUGCAACCUACCUUAAUCAGGGGGAUAGCCCGAAGAAAUUCGGAUUAAGACCGCAUAAAAACACAGGAUAGCAUUAUCCAAUGUUCAAAUAUUUAUAGGAUUAAGAUGGGCAUGCGUGUCAUUAGCUAGUUGGCGGGGUAACGGCCCACCAAGGCGACGAUGACUAGGGGAUCUGAGAGGAUGACCCCCCACACUGGUACUGAGACACGGACCAGACUCCUACGGGAGGCAGCAGUAAGGAAUAUUGGUCAAUGGAGGGAACUCUGAACCAGCCAUGCCGCGUGCAGGAAGACAGCCCUCUGGGUCGUAAACUGCUUUUAUUCGGGAAUAAACCUUUCUACGUGUAGGAAGCUGAAUGUACCGAAGGAAUAAGGAUCGGCUAACUCCGUGCCAGCAGCCGCGGUAAUACGGAGGAUCCAAGCGUUAUCCGGAUUUAUUGGGUUUAAAGGGUGCGUAGGCGGCUUAUUAAGUCAGGGGUGAAAGACGGUGGCUCAACCAUCGCAGUGCCCUUGAUACUGAUGAGCUUGAAUACACUAGAGGUAGGCGGAAUGUGACAAGUAGCGGUGAAAUGCAUAGAUAUGUCACAGAACACCGAUUGCGAAGGCAGCUUACUAUGGUGUUAUUGACGCUGAGGCACGAAAGCGUGGGGAUCAAACAGGAUUAGAUACCCUGGUAGUCCACGCCCUAAACGAUGAAUACUCGCUGUUAGCGAUAUACAGUUAGCGGCUAAGCGAAAGCGUUAAGUAUUCCACCUGGGGAGUACGCCCGCAAGGGUGAAACUCAAAGGAAUUGACGGGGGCCCGCACAAGCGGAGGAGCAUGUGGUUUAAUUCGAUGAUACGCGAGGAACCUUACCCGGGCUUGAAAGUUAGUGAAUGAUCUAGAGAUAGAUCAGUGAGCAAUCACACGAAACUAGGUGCUGCAUGGCUGUCGUCAGCUCGUGCCGUGAGGUGUUGGGUUAAGUCCCGCAACGAGCGCAACCCCUAUGUUUAGUUGCCAGCACGUUAAGGUGGGGACUCUAAACAGACUGCCUGUGCAAACAGAGAGGAAGGAGGGGACGACGUCAAGUCAUCAUGGCCCUUACGUCCGGGGCUACACACGUGCUACAAUGGAUGGUACAGAGGGCAGCAAGCUGGCAACAGCAAGCGAAUCUCAAAAAGCCAUUCACAGUUCGGAUAGAGGUCUGCAACUCGACCUCUUGAAGUUGGAUUCGCUAGUAAUCGCGUAUCAGCAAUGACGCGGUGAAUACGUUCCCGGGCCUUGUACACACCGCCCGUCAAGCCAUGGAAGUUGGGGGUACCUAAAGUAUGUAACCGUAAGGAGCGUCCUAGGGUAAAACCGAUAACUGGGGCUAAGUCGUAACAAGGUAGCC